GAUGAAGAACGUAGCGAAAUGCGAUAAGUAAUGUGAAUUGCAGAAUUCAGUGAAUCAUCGAAUCUUUGAACGCACAUUGCGCCCGCCAGUAUUCUGGCGGGCAUGCCUGUUCGAGCGUCAUUACAACCCUCAGGCCCCCGGGCCUGGCGUUGGGGAUCGGCGGAAGCCCCCUGCGGGCACAACGCCGUCCCCCAAAUACAGUGGCGGUCCCGCCGCAGCUUCCAUUGCGUAGUAGCUAACACCUCGCAACUGGAGAGCGGCGCGGCCACGCCGUAAAACACCCAACUUCUGAAUGUUGACCUCGAAUCAGGUAGGAAUACCCGCUGAACUUAAGCAUAUCUAAGCGGAGGA
rnacentral:misc_RNA from 1 species